rnacentral:rRNA from 1 species
AACCGAGAACUCCUACGGGAGGCAGCAGUGGGGAAUUUUGGACAAUGGGCGCAAGCCUGAUCCAGCAAUGCCGCGUGAGUGAAGAAGGCCUUCGGGUUGUAAAGCUCUUUUGUCAGGGAAGAAACGACUCCGGCUAAUAUCCGGGGCUAAUGACGGUACCUGAAGAAUAAGCACCGGCUAACUACGUGCCAGCAGCCGCGGUAAUACGUAGGGUGCAAGCGUUAAUCGGAAUUACUGGGCGUAAAGCGUGCGCAGGCGGUUGUGUAAGUCAGAUGUGAAAUCCCCGGGCUCAACCUGGGAAUUGCAUUUGAGACUGCACGGCUAGAGUGUGUCAGAGGGGGGUAGAAUUCCACGUGUAGCAGUGAAAUGCGUAGAUAUGUGGAGGAAUACCGAUGGCGAAGGCAGCCCCCUGGGAUAACACUGACGCUCAUGCACGAAAGCGUGGGGAGCAAACAGGAUUAGAUACCCUGGUAGUCCGACUGAGA